rnacentral:rRNA from 1 species
CCUACGGGAGGCAGCAGUGGGGAAUUUUGGACAAUGGACGCAAGUCUGAUCCAGCCAUGCCGCGUGCGGGAAGAAGGCCUUCGGGUUGUAAACCGCUUUUGUCAGGGAAGAAACGGGUUUCUCUAAUACAGAGACCUAAUGACGGUACCUGAAGAAUAGGCACCGGCUAACUACGUGCCAGCAGCCGCGGUAAUACGUAGGGUGCAAGCGUUAAUCGGAAUUACUGGGCGUAAAGCGUGCGCAGGCGGUUAUGCAAGACAGAGGUGAAAUCCCCGGGCUCAACCUGGGAACUGCCUUUGUGACUGCAUAGCUAGAGUACGGUAGAGGGGGAUGGAAUUCCGCGUGUAGCAGUGAAAUGCGUAGAUAUGCGGAGGAACACCGAUGGCGAAGGCAAUCCCCUGGACCUGUACUGACGCUCAUGCACGAAAGCGUGGGGAGCAAACAGGAUUAGAUACCCUGGUACACGUACCACCGUACCCGUAAACGNUCGACACGUUGGUUGGUAGGGUUAGGUUUCUUCUCUACGUAACGAGUACGUACGUCGUAGUAAGUUCGACCGUCGGUAGGGGAACGGUACCGGCCGACGUAGGUUACGAACCGUACGAAAAGUAGUUACGGACCGUGAGAGACGCGACGACGACGACGACGGAGGGAGGAGG